GACGAACGCUGGCGGCGUGCUUAACACAUGCAAGUCGAACGGAAAGGCCCCGCUUUUGUGGGGUGCUCGAGUGGCGAACGGGUGAGUAACACGUGAGUAACCUGCCCUUGACUUUGGGAUAACUUAAGGAAACUGGGGCUAAUACCGGAUAGGAGCUACUGCUGCAUGGUGGGGGUUGGAAAGUUUCGGCGGUUGGGGAUGGACUCGCGGUUUAUCGGCUUGUUGGUGGGUUAGUGGCUUACCAAGGCAUUGACGGGUAGCCGGCCUGGGAGGGUUGCGAGCCACAUUGGGACUGGGAGACGGCGCGAGCUCCGACGGGAGGCAGCAGUGGGGAAUAUUGCACAAUGGUGGGAAGCCUGAUACAGCAACGCCGCGGGCGGGAUGACGGCCUUCGGGUUGUAAACCGCUUUCGCCUGUGACGAAGCGUGAGUGACGGUAAUGGGUAAAGAAGCACCGGCUAACUACGUGCCAGCAGCCGCCGUAAUAC
rnacentral:rRNA from 1 species